AGAGACGUAAUAAAAAGCUCUCUGACCUGGGGAGAUUCUGGAUCAGCAGCCGUACCCGGUGCUAAUCAAAUCACCAUGAGCUCCAUCUGUCUCCUGCUGUUUCUGACAGCUGUGUCCUGUGUGGAUUCGGUUGAAUUUACUCAGUCAGAUAAUAUAGUGGUUCGACCUGGAGAGGUGUUUACCAUCUCCUGUAAAUUCUCUGGGUUUUCAAUAUCCAGCUACUGUCCACACUGGAUUCGACAAACGCCAUCCAAGGCUAUGGAAUAUAUUGGAUAUGUGUGUAGCAGCAGCUCUUCUGUAAAAGACUCACUCAAGAACAAAAUCAGUUUCUCUGCAGACGUUUCCAGCAGCACAGUGUUUUUAAAGGGGCAAAACUUUCAGACUGAGGACACAGCUGUGUAUUACUGUGCCCGAGAGCCACAGUCAUUCAGAUUACUGGUACAGCUGUACAAAAACCAAGGUCAUGCUGUGAUGAGCUCCCUUUAG